GAAGCGUAGUGGUAUCCUGAGUAGCGCGGGACACGAGGAAUCUUGCGUGAAUCUGCCGGGACCAUCCGGUAAGGCUAAAUACUCCCGAGAGACCGAUAGCGAACCAGUACUGUGAAGGAAAGGUGAAAAGCACUUCGAAUAGAAGAGUGAAAUAGUCCCUGAAACCGUGCGCCUACAAGCGGUCGGAGCAGCGUAAGUUGUGACGGCGUGCCUUUUGCAUAAUGAACCUACGAGUUACUUUUUCCGGCAAGGUUAAGCAUUUCAAAAUGUGUAGCCGAAGCGAAAGCGAGUCUGAACAGGGCGAUUAGUCGGAAGGAGUAGACGCGAAACCAAGUGAUCUACCCUUGGUCAGGUUGAAGGUUAGGUAACACUAACUGGAGGACCGAACCGAUAAGCGUUGAAAAGCUUCCGGAUGAACUGAGGGUGGGGGUGAAAGGCUAAUCAAACUUGGAGAUAGCUCGUACUCCCCGAAAUGCAUUUAGGUGCAGCCUUGGGAAUUACUACUGUGAGGUAGAGCGACUGAUAAGAUGCGAGGGCUUCACCGCCUAUCAAGUCUUGAUAAACUCCGAAUGCGCAGUAGUUCGAUCCCAGGAGUGAGGGCAUGGGUGCUAAGGUCCAUGUCCUAAAGGAGAAGAAUCCGGACCAUCAGCUAAGGUCCCGAAAUAAUUGCUAAGUUGAACUAACGAAGUCAGAUUGCUAAGACAGCUAGGAUGUUGGCUUGGAAGCAGCCAUUCAUUUAAAGAGUGCGUAACAGCUCACUAGUCGAGGAGUUUGGCGUGGAUAAUAAUCGGGCAUUAAGCAAUUUACCGAAGCUAUGGGAUCCGUAAGGAUCGGUAGGGGAGCAUUCCACUCUGCGUCGAAGGUGAAGCGUGAGCUUUGCUGGAGCGUGUGGAAAAGCAAAUGUAGGUAUAAGUAACGAUAAAGGGGGUGAGAAACCCCCUCGCCGAAAGACUAAGGUUUCCUGAUCAACGCUAAUCGGAUCAGGGUUAGUCGGGUCCUAAGGCUCAGCCGAACGGUGAGGCCGAUGGCAGAACAGGUUAAUAUUCCUGUACUACCUUAA
rnacentral:rRNA from 1 species